GCCGGGAUAGCUCAGUUGGUAGAGCAAAAGACUGAAAAUCCUCGUGUC
rnacentral:tRNA from 1 species